UACGAAGGGGGCUAGCGUUGUUCGGAAUCACUGGGCGUAAAGGGCGCGUAGGCGGCUUUAUAAGUCGGGGGUGAAAGCCUGUGGCUCAACCACAGAAUUGCCUUCGAUACUGUAGAGCUUGAGACCGGAAGAGGUAAGUGGAACUGCGAGUGUAGAGGUGAAAUUCGUAGAUAUCAGGUGGAACACCGGUGGCGAAGGCGGUGGUCUGGGCCGGAACUGACGCUGUAGAGCGAAAGCGUGGGGAGCGAACAGG
rnacentral:rRNA from 1 species